UCUAAUAUGGCAGAUUAGUGCAAUGGAUUUAAACCCCAUAUAUAAAGGUAUCCUUCUUUUUUUAGAA
rnacentral:tRNA from 1 species